rnacentral:lncRNA from 1 species
AAAUAAACGAGACAGCCUAUGCUCUCAACUUUGGAUUUGAAAUCAGCAAUAUAACCAUGUCUGAGAAACUUGAACUCAGGAAUGGUACCCACCUGUUAAUACAAGACUCCUUAAACACAUUGGUGAGUUGGAGACAUUUCAGUAAAGUAGUCUUUUACAAACACUUUUUUUCUUCUCUCUCUCUCUCUCUCUCUCUCUCUCUACUAAGUAAGUACUUUACUUAACUAACUUUUACUUUCUUCUCUCUCUCUCUCUCUCUCUCUCUCUCUCUCUCUCUCUCUCUCGCUCUCUCUCUCUCUCAUUUAUCACAUUAACCUCAACAUAUUUAAAAACAAAUUCAUCAAUUUUUUCAGCUGGCCAAGAUCCUCCUCGAUAACUCCUCAGCUCCUGUCAUUAAGUUCCAAGCAGCUGAUUUCACGUAAGUUCUGACUCACUUUUUACUUUGAUUUGAGCAAAUAUGUCCUGUUGACUCUUCAUUGGUGUUAGUUGGGAAGUUUUUAUACAUGAGUACAUGGCUUGUGACUAAGAAGAAUUUUUAGUUAUUGACUUUAGUUUUUCAUUGUACAUUUUAAUCUCCCCACAGGGGUAAUUCCGCUGUGAUUCAGGCCAAAGUAGAGUAUGUUAUCUCACCAAGUGACAUCACGCAACCCAGCAUAUUUGUUCAGGAACUUCUCCAACUCGCCGAAGAGACCACUCUGACAACAACUUCACCACCAAUCUUGUAAGACCAAUGAGUGAUUUAUUUAGUUAUUUUUAAAGCUAGUUGUUUAAAUUUUCUGUGUUUAUAUUCCAAUAAUUUUUUUUUAUGCAGGAGUAGGAAGGCAAUUAUUACGAUUCGUCUCGAGUUUAUCACACUGGGCCCAAGACCAAGUGAGAAUAGUGUUCUAGAGGUGGUUAAAUCUAUGCUGGCCGCAAAUCUCACAACUAAACUAACUGCCAGAACAGUAAGCGUGAGUGAUCCUGUGAUCUUGACAAAUGUCAACUAUUUAGGAAUUAAUGACACUGCCUACGCGCUCAUCUUUACAUUUGAAAUCAGCAAAGUAUUACUGACAGAGUUAAAAAGGAAUGAAACCUAUCAAGAAAUCCAAAAUAAGAUAAAUGACUUGGUGAUCCAGAUCCUAAAGGACCCCUCAGUUAAUCUGCUCAUUCCAGCCCAUUUCAAGGAAAAUUCCACUGUGAUUGAGGCCAAUGUUACGUAUGUUUUCUCACAAUAUGCCAGCAACACGGGUGCCGGUUUCUUGGUCAAUACCCUUUUCACAGUUUUUACCACACCAGUUCCAACCACCAUGAGCACUACAAUCUCAAACAACAGUACAAACGCAGCAUGGGUUGUGGCUAUCAUUGUCCCCUGUGCUAUUAUCAUCGGGCUCGUACCUUGCUGGAUUCUCCUUUGUUGUUUGCUGUGUGGUUGCUGUGCAGCAAUCAGGAGACGAUGGCACAGAAGACGGUCAUACAAUGUACAGUACACAACUCGAAACAGCCUCUUCUAGAGAAUUCAGGGAUGACAAAAAAAGGACUGAACACCAAUGAAAACAUAAAAAUCAUGGAUUUUGGAUAUUCAGUGUGCAAUUCAAUGCUGCCUCUUAAGUAUAAAAGUACUAUGUUAAUGCUUAUUUUAUAAAUUAUUGCUAGACAAACAGGUUCUCUAUAAAAUGUUCAUAAAUGUGAUAUUUGAAUUCUUCCUAUAGCGUAUAAUAAAACUGUAUUGCUGUUAUUUAUUUGUAUUUAUUGUAAUAUUCUGUUUAUGUUUACAAUUAAUAAGCUUUUGCAAAGCAUUAGUCUGCUUGACACACAGUUUCAUUUAAAGGGACAAAGGUAGAACUUUGGAAUUACAGCUAUUAUUUAUUCACACUCUGUGCACUUUAUAAUGUUAAGCAAAGGUAAAGCAAGCUCAUGAUGUAAAGGAAAUGUAAAGCAAAUUUAGUCUUUGGCAUGAACAUGUUAAACUGCAAAAAAAAUAAAAAAUACUAGAUUAAUAAAGAAUACAGAACAAUACAGAAGUUUGUGUUUCUCUUUGUAAUGUAAAUAUAAAGGUUACUCAUUAUUGGCCUUAGUCUUGAACAUCAAAGCUGUUUAUAUGGUAAACAAUGUUACCCAGAAU